GGUCCCAUGGGGUAGUGGUUAGCAGCUCAGACUCUGAAUCUGGUGACCCAAGUUCAAAUCUCGGUGGGACGU
rnacentral:tRNA from 1 species